UACGGGGGGGGUAAGCGUUGUUCGGAAUUACUGGGCGUAAAGGGCUCGUAGGCGGCCAACUAAGUCGGACGUGAAAUCCCUCAGCUUAACUGGGGAACUGCGUCUGAUACUGGAUGGCUUGGAUUUGGGAGAGGGAUGCGGAAUUCCAGGUGUAGCGGUGAAAUGCGUAGAUAUCUGGAGGAACACCGGUGGCGAAGGCGGCAUCCUGGACCAAUAUUGACGCUGAGUGAGCGAAAGCCAGGGGAGCAAACGGG
rnacentral:rRNA from 1 species